GUGACAGCCUCCUACCCAAGCGUUAAACCGAGUGGCGAUGAUUUGAACAAGAGCGUUUGUUAGGACUGAAAAGAUAAUGUCUGGGGGACAGUUAAAACUCUCUCGGGAGGGAGGAUCUCUUCCAGGAAAAGUGACAUUCCUACAAGUAAAGAGGCAGACGGCAGAGCACAUGUGACAGUGGAUACGAACGGUCAGAUUUUGACGAGCUGUGGCUCCUUUUGGGCCCAACUCUCCUGUCCCUGCCAUCGCGGGAAGAAGCGUGGCCACCCUUCCUUUCCCUGGAGCUCGCCUCCCCUAUAAGGAGCUGAAUAUGCAACAUCUAAACGACAAGCUGGCCUGGACUGGAGGCCCGUUCCUCGUGUCUAAUCUCAUGGGUCACGCGGGGACACCAGCUCGUGCUCCCGUCACAACAUGCUGCUCUAGUGCCUUCUGUCCAUCCCCUACCUUCACGGCGUGAACCUCAGAACAACCAGAGACGUGGCUGAAUCACUUACAUGUCAUACGAGACAAACUCUCAUUGUUGGCAUUCAUUUCACUGAUGUAGUUGCAGCCGGGUC